rnacentral:misc_RNA from 1 species
AUGUACCCCAAGCCGGUGAGGUACCCUUCGGGGAGCCAGCCGUCUAAGGUGGGACAGAUGAUUAGGGUGAAGUCGUAACAAGGUAGCCGUAGGAGAACCUGCGGCUGGAUCACCUCCUUUCUAAGGAAUAAUACGGAAAACCUUGUACAUUUGCGAAAUCAAAACUUUGUUUAGUUUUGAGAGGUCUACUCUCAAACUUUGUUCUUUGAAAACUGGAUAAUAAGUAAUAUAUUAGUUUUAAAAGCCGAGCAAUUAUUGCGUUUGGUAUGAAGGGUUGGAAUACUUUUCUGAAGACGGCGGAAUCACCGAAGUUUUGUCAUGNAGUCUCUUUGUGUGGCAACCUCUC